rnacentral:lncRNA from 1 species
ACAUUGUAUAUGAAGACAGUUUUUGAUAGACAAGAUGAAAAUAAGAAAAUGUAAAGCUUGAAUGAAAAAUCAUGAAACUAGUAUUCACACUGAUGGGACCUUGUUUAAUGUGAUAAUGUGUAUCAUCUAUAUAACAAAUUUGUAUAAUCAAUUAAGGAUUUUAUUUUGUUAACAGUUAAGUAAAGGAAAUUGCCUCUCCAAUAUUUUGUUGUGAGAUUGAGCUCUUAUGAUGCAAGAAUAUGCCUUGAAAGCAGUAUUUUUCCUUGAUUGAAAACUUCUGAUAUUAACUCCAAUUUCAUAUAAGUUUACCCAAUAUUUUUACAUAACUACAUUGAAAUUCAAAUGCAGAAAAUAUUUCGUUCUAAUUUGACUUUGAUGGUCGACAUAAAUAUAUGAGCCCACUUAAUUCAAAAUGGAAGUGAAAACCAAAUUUCAGUUAUUGACAAAUUGAAUAAAGGAGUAGGUUCAGUAAGACUCCUUUUUGGCCCCAAAAUAUAGCAGUUUUACAAAAUGUUUAAAAUGUAAACUAUAUUUUUUUAUUUUUUGAACAGAAGAAUGCUUCUGCUACAUAGAUAUAGGCUGUUUUUGACAAUACAAUGCACAUAUAU